rnacentral:lncRNA from 1 species
UGGUGGCAAGAAGAGAAAUUAAGAAAAAGUGCAAACCCAUCAGUCAUAGGUUCGGUUUUUGUGAGAAACUAGUAGAGAUAGUAAACAUGUUUAUCCGUCCUGUCCCAUCGAGAUUGUACUUUCCCCUAGGUAUUGAAUUGUUGCUGCUUUCCAGUAUUCCUUGGAUGUAUUCUACAUAUCUCCCAAUGUCUUCUCAAUCUAUUUGUUCUAUGCGAAUGAGAAUACCAUGUAUACUCAUAACUUGCAAUGAUUUCAUACAGUUUUAAUAUAUCCACUAGGUUUAUCAACCACUUUGAUAUCGACCCACACGUCUGAAUUUUGUCUAUUCUCCCUAUCUUGUGAACUGUAUUCAUCCUCAUCAAACUCAUCUUCUUCCAAUUCAUCAUCGACAUCCGGUAUCUCAUCUUGGAUUUUCAUCUUCUUCUGCGACUGACUAG